rnacentral:rRNA from 1 species
AGCGAACGCUGGCGGCAGGCCUAACACAUGCAAGUCGAGCGCCCGUAGCAAUACGGGAGCGGCAGACGGGAGAGUAACACGUGGGAACGUACCCUUCAGUUCGGAACAACCCAGGGAAAC